UUCAGGUACGAGGUUUUCGCUCGCAUCGAGGGGAAGAGAGAGAGAGAGGAUGUUGAAGUUCUUGUCAAAGGUGAAGAUCGAGUUCAAUGCACUGAACACGGGCCGAACGGCGGCGUGCUUCGAGUUCUUGGCUCUGUGCAAUGCGCGCAGGGCUCGGGAGUCGAACCCAGGGUGCCAAAUCGCUGUGAAGCGGCGCACCGACGACUUCUACCCUCAGAUCACUGUGACAUUCGUUAAUGGCACUGAAGAGGUCAUCGAUGCCGCUUCCACUCCUGCCCAGGACAUUCGAGAGAAGAUACUGGCCAAGGGAAGGAUGUUAGAGACUUAGCAGAUGUUCCGAGAGGCCGGCGAGCCGUGGCCAGUCAUGAUCCCUGAGGCUGAGCUCAAGGAACCUGUUGUCAUGGAUACAAGAAGGUGACCCGUUCAAAUGUUGAAAUCUACUGCCUGGAACAUUUCAUGGACUUCUCAUCCCAUGAUAUAUUUGAAAAGCCUGACUUUUGGAAAAUGUGACAAUCGGGGCUUAUAUGGGCGAAGCUAUCAUAAGCAUAUCAAGAGAGGAUACUCGAGAGCGCUCCCCCUUAGUUUGCACUUCAACAGCAUCAAUCAGAGGUACAAUUUCCCAAAAAAAGAAAAAAGAAAGAGCGUCAAUCAGAGGUAAGAUUGUGGUUUUGUCAAAUUAUGAUCUACAGGGAAAUCAACCAAAACGAGGGUCUCUUCCUUGCGGACCUCUGACCAUGCCAACUUGUUCACCAAAAAUCAAAAGAGAAUUUUUUGAAACUCAAGAAAAGAGAAUCUUUUGAAAAAAGGUUGUAAAACAGAGG